ACUCUAAAUAUGGAAAAUAUGCAUCUGGUCACAUGAACAACUCAGAGCAACAAAAGGGGAUGCAAGCAAGCAGAAAACCAUUUAGCUGUUCUGAUGGGAGUAAAGGACAGAAACAGAAGAGCUCUCUGAUCAAACACAUUAGAAGUCAUAUAGGACAAAAAACAUUUGAAUGUUCUGAGUGUGGUAAAAGAUUUGGGCUAAAGAGCUCCCUGAACACACACAUGAUAAUUCAUACAGGGCAAAAAGCAUUUGUCUGUUCUGAGUGUGGUCAGAGAUUUGGACAAAAGAGCAACCUCAAUAGACACAUGAUAAUUCAUACAGGACAAAAAGCAUUUGUCUGUUCUGAGUGUGGUCAAAGAUUUAGACAAAAGUGCACCCUGAAUAGACACAUGAUAAUUCAUACAGGACA